rnacentral:lncRNA from 1 species
UUUUUUUGAUAAAAUUUCUUGGAGGUAGCCAAAUAAAAAGACUCUAAAAAUGGUGACUUUUUUAGUGAAAUUAUUGACUUAAUGAAAAUACACUCUCAUUUUAGUGACAACUGUCUGGUUUUAUUCAUUGUGCAUAUGGCAUUUUGUACACCUCUAUUUCCAUACUUCUGUAAUUUUUGUUUUUAUUUAUUUAUUUAUUUAUUUCUGCUUAUUUCCGCUUCCAAGUCUGGCCUCUGCUUUUCAUGCUUGUGAAAAAUGUAGUCCCCCACACCCCAAAAUUUAAGAUAAAAUAGAAUUAAAUUAUUUGAAAUAAGAUAAAAUUAAAAACUCUUGUCCCUAAUGUGUCUCAAUAUUUAUUAUUUUUGUGGCGUUUUGUACACGGC